GAGGCUAACUGUCACAUACCUCAAGGUGUUUCAUUUCUCUCAGCCAGUAUGUUACUAUGCUACAUUUCUCUAUUAAUGCUUUGUUACACACACACACACACACACACACGUGUGAGCUGUUUGCUUUACUGAAUGAAAAGAGAAACUAAAGAAGAAGAAGGUGGAAUAUCUUACACUGGCUUGAUAUGGAAGAAAAGAUGGCACAUUUGAAGAAAAUAUGUUGAGUGCACUUUCGCAGCAUAAUUGCCACCACUCCAAUUAUGUACAGUUAUAUGAGCCCAUAAUCUCUUUUGUAGUUGCUGGAUUUCUCAUUAGAAGCUCCUGCUGUUUCGUUUUCCACUUCAAGCAAAGAAGCCAUUUGGGAUGUGCUAAGCAACUGUCCAACUCUAUUGAGUCACCUACCCAGGUGAUGAACAUCAGGCCUGUGUUGAGCUGUACUCGUGGUUGCUUAUGAGAAAGAUGCCAGCACGCCUUGAGGCCAUCCUUUUCAUCCAGGAAAUGAGUCUCAGCAUAUUUGUUGAUUCAGGCAAGAGCUUUGAUGGGCUCAGCCCAUGACAACAUCAGAUGCACGAAGCAACUACCUUUGUAGGUAGAUGGUAGAAUUCCCAAGCUGACCCCGAAAUGGCCUGGAAGGAACGCAGCUGGUGCCAUGGUCCCUAUCACUCCAGGCUAUACACCACAGCGUGGGUGCUGCUCAUAUCCUCAGCUUGCUCUGGACACAGGACCAGUGCUCUUGCACCAUAUCCUACUACUACAGCAGACCCUUCUGACAGAGCUGAAAGCUGGGGGUGUCAACUUGGAACAAAAUAUUGGCCCAGGUAAGCCCUUCCUGCAUAAUUGAUCACAUGUUGAAGUGCACACACAUCAUUUUGAAUGGCAAUACCCAUUGACUUUGGGGCAGGGGUUAGCCCCCUCAAAUAUUUUAUUGGGAGGCGGGGGCUGAAAGCACCUUGGAUCUGCCUCCUCUACUUAAGGAGCUGGGGGGGGGGUCCCCAGAGCCCCUUCUUAUGGCAUUUCCCCUGAUUUGCUGGCCAUGUCAUUGGCAGCUCUCGAGGUGUCUCCCAUACAUAGAUCUCAAUCUUUCUGUACACUGCUAUUGCAGAUAUGGAUGCAGACGUGGCCCCCCUCACCCUGUUCUCCUCCACAGAGCACCGUCCAAGCAGCUGGGUGCAAACUUCCCCGAUUCUCUACCCCACCCCACCUCAAUAAACUCGCGAGCGGCCCCUCCCGCGCAGUCCAGGCAUGAUUUAACCAUAGCAACCCCUCCCCCUUGCAGGUGGAUGCAGGCAGAGCAUCUUCCAGCUGCCACAAAGGCUGCGUGGAGAACGGGCAGCUUCUCUCUCUGUAGCCACCAACCCGUGCAAGGGUGCCAACUUGAAUAAAAUAUUGGGGGGGGGGGGGAGGGAAGGAAGCCCCACCCCGCACAAUCAAUCACAAGACACAGGGAGCACCUACCAUUUGAACGGCAGUACCUAUCACACGGGGGGGGAGCUGGACCCCACAAAUAUUUUAUCGGGGGUUGGCUCCUAUGCACUCUGGGGAUUCCCUCUUCACGGAGCUUCGCAAGACUCAAGGACCUCACCAGUACUGGGAGAAAGAGAGAGAGAGAAAGGGAGGGAGGGAGGGAGAGAGGACCCCCUCCCAAGGCGCUGCUUGCCCGUCUGCAGCUCCCUCCCUCCCUCCCUCCCUCCAUCUGUCCGUCUCUUCCUCGGCAAGCUAAUUCCCUGCUAUUCUGGAAUCGCAAAGCCUCGCCUGCCUGCCUGCCUCUCCCCGGCGCGGAUCUCCGGGCGCAGCGCUCGGUGGCCGGGCUGCAAGAAACAAUGACGGGCGUCGUGCUCCGGGCAGCCCGGGGGAGCAGCGCAGCGCAGCCCAGCUCGGGCGCCUUUGUCUCUCCCUUUCCCCGGGCUCCACUCACCUCUGGCAGGCUGGUGCUGCAGGCUCGCUCGCCCGCCUCCUCCUCCUCC